UGGAUUUUGAUUGGUAUUGGUAUACCAUCGUUUGUUAGAGAGAUUUUGCCUCAUUUUCACUCAUAAUUUGUAAACGUUACAAAGAACGAUUUGUGGAGCAUCGACAGAUUCUAUUGCAAGAUUUUGUAUAUUGGGCUUGUCGUCAUCCGGUACUGUGACAAUGCGAAGUGUGGCAUCAUUUUUUGACCUGCUACUAUGACAAGAUGUUGAAAUCAAGCAUAAGGAAAGCCGAACAUGACACAUAUGUAGGAGUCUCUUAUUGUUGGGCCAUAUCUCUUAGCAUUAUCCAAUGACACGGCGAAACGUUAUGAAACAUAAUAUAAAAAAUAACUGCAACGUAUUGGUGAUGGCAGGUCGGACCUGGCAAAGGCCUUAAAUAAAGACGAGCGUCGUGCACCCUUAAAAACAACACCGUUAUCGGAAAGUGUUGGGCGUAAAGUUCGCCUCAGAUCGGAAAGUUAAACCAUAAAUUGGACUCGAUACCAUUCACAGACCGUUUUUAGUUCUACAGUCAAUACGACACGAAAGUUAGUCUCUUUUUAGUUACAUAUGCCUAAGGAAUGAAAGGACCUUGUGCCUAGCUUGAAGAUACCCAAAAGCCAAUAUUUCAGUAUCUCCUAACUGGUAUUAGAAGGCGUCCUGAACAGUUUUCCUGACAUUAUUUCAACACGAAUGCGAUUGGUUAACAUCUAUGCAAAAAAAUGAGCAAUGACCAGAUGACCGAUGUGAAUCGUCGCACCAAUGUUAGUUCCUAUGCUGUAAUAGCUGAAAUGUAGGAUUUUAAACAAAAUCAUGUUACACAAAUGAAACCGGCACUUAAAUCUUUUAUAAGUGAGUUUUUGGCAAGAAACCUGCGAAGAAAUAAUGUAUGACAUGGUGUAUAAUCGUGAUGAAGGGGCCGAAUCAUAUUGUUUAAAUAGACACACAAUUUAUGGUGGACACACACCACUGAUUUAUAAAUGAAGUUGCUUUAUUUUUAAGAAAAACUCAGUAUCUCGUUAUAUUUUAUACAAGUAAUAAGUUUUGAUUUAUUCCGUCAUAUAAGAACAGUGUUUUAUAAUAAUUCUUCCGGAUAGAGUGGUGUGUACAUGUAGAGGGAGGCUAAACUCAUUUAACCAGAUAUUUUGUAUGCAUGUAGCUUUAUAAUUGUAGUAUAUAUAAAUAUAUUGUUAAAUGUACUUCUUUAAGUAUACAAUUUAAGUGUUAAUACUUAUAUUUAACCUAUAUACAUAUGUGUAACAUAGUAUAUA